rnacentral:rRNA from 1 species
UGCCAGCAGCCGCGGUAAUACGGAGGGUGCGAGCGUUGUUCGGAAUCACUGGGCGUAAAGCGCGUGUAGGCGGCACGUUAAGUCGGAUGUGAAAGCCCAGGGCUCAACCUUGGAACUGCAUCCGAUACUGGCGAGCUAGAGUCCCGGAGGGGGUGGUGGAAUUCCAGGUGUAGAGGUGAAAUUCGUAGAUAUCUGGAGGAACACCCGUGGCGAAGGCGACCACCUGGACGGGCACUGACGCUGAGACGCGAAAGCGUGGGGAGCAAACAGGAUUAGAUA